AUCCGGGGGGCGCGAGCCCGCUAACCCCGUCAGGACCCCGAAGGUAGCAGCGGCAUGUGGUGUCUUGCGUUGCCCCGAUCCCC
rnacentral:SRP_RNA from 1 species